rnacentral:lncRNA from 1 species
GGCCCCGGAACGAUCUGUCUGGUUGAUAUAGCCUUGGUCGGUAGAUAUGCACAUGUGCUUUAUGUAAAAGUGGCUUAAUUUUGGUGCAAACAGGCACCCAACUUUCAGUGGAAAUCAUGCACUGGAAUUUCAGCUCAAAAUUGCUUGCUUCAAAUUUUGGCGCAUGAGGGGCUCACGGGCAUCCGGCGUAGUGUAUGGAUGUUUUCCAGUCUGGCUGAAAGGCAGAACUCAGACACAUUUAUCCAGCCCUUCAAAUCCCAUUUCCUGGUUGUGGUAACACCUACCUUUCCAUGGGGGUUUGGUUCAUCUCUUGUCUACACAGUUUUCUUUCACUUAUGUGCUGACAAGAAAAGGAAACUCACCAGAGCCCAGUUUCACCAAGUGCGGUAAACUCAAUUUGGGGUAAACUACUAAACUACCCCACUACUUAACUACAAAAACUACCCCAAAAUUAAGUUUACCGCACUUGGUGAAACUGGGCUCAGUGGAGCUAUUCAGCUUAAUACACAGAGUAUGUGUUGCAUGGACUAAGCAUGUGUUGACCCUUUUUUACUUUUAGGUUCCCGCUAAAAAAAAGAAGUACAGAGAAAAGUGGAUGAGGGUGUGUGGCAUGACCAAUGAGCCAAGACCACAUGACCACUUAAACUUAACAAGAAGUGCGCACCAUGAUAAGCACAGUCAAAAACGUUUGCGUCUAAAGAACAGUGCUGUGCCGGAUCAGAAUAUUCCGUAUACGCCUUGGGUUGCUGUCGCUGCUCGGUCACCCACAGAUGAAAGUGAUCAAGAAAUGGACAUCACUCAGGUGUGGGAUCACUCGUGGAAGUUCACGGCGGAUACGGAGCCGUGCAUGCAGCUCUGGUUCGAUCCUGCUCAGGGAAGCCCCAAUGACGCCGUGGCGCGUAUCUGGGCUGAGCGGGUGGUGGCGGGCGCUGCCGCGUGGCUGGUGGCCGCGGCCCGCUCCUGACCCGGUCGCCCUGUGCCGAGCACAGAGCGCCGACUGAGGUCAGUCUUGUGAUCGAGCUUCCGCGCCGGAGGUGGAACAGCUGGAGCUGGCGGUCACCUGCGCGGGCUCGGCGGCCUGUAAGCCGUGCCGAGACGAACCGCGACACUCUUGCUAGAUCUGCACCCCAUUGUAAUCUUCUGUAGUCGAUAUUCGGUAGGUACUCAAUGCUCAUUUUUCUGAUAUUAGACGAGUGGCGUGUUUUGAUGUUACAUUGGAGACUGCUGUCUCGGGUGGCCCGACAGUGUUCGAUUGUGGUGUAAUGUAGAUACAUAGACGGGAUGCCGCGGCUCGGAUUCGUAGCUGGACUACCAUGUGCCUGUCGAUUGAGAUGCUUUGCCUGGCGAUUGAGAUGAUUCGGGGCGCGGCCCCACACUGACGCCAUGGUGCAAUGAGUGACUGGCGACAACUAAGCAAUUAUGUACUUUUGUAGAACACAUGUUUUCAUGGAUACUAGAGGCAGUCCUUUUUUCGCUAGCAGUCAUUUGGUUCACGAUACUUUCGAUACCGACAAAUAUGUUCGGGCGGCCGGUCCGUCCACAGCUAAUGCGUGCUUGCCCGCCGAUGCCUAACGGAGCGCUGUGCUGUCUACGCUCACUGGUCGCUGGCCCGAGAGCCGUUCGGUUGCUGCUGUUAAAACAGUUCUCACAAAAACACGCUGGCUGGCUGCCAGUUCUUCACCAAUGAGAGGCCCAGUAGCAUCAGCAGGUAGCAUUGUUUAAUAUUACUAUUCCAUUUUGUUUACCCAUAUGUCCGACCUAGAGCCGACUGGUAAAAAGCGGCAACCGAGCAGCCCUCCGCAGCGCUGCAGAUCAUGUACGCUCGAUUAUACACAAUAUAUGUGUCUUUCUUGCACACAGAGACAUGA